rnacentral:tRNA from 1 species
CUCCUCGUAGCUCAACUGGAUAGAGCAAGUGCCUUCUAAGCACUAGGUUGCAGGUUCGAUUCCUGUCGAGGAGA